rnacentral:rRNA from 1 species
UACGUAGGGUGCGAGCGUUGUUCGGAUUUACUGGGCGUAAAGGGCGCGCAGGCGGCGAUCUUUGUCAGGCGUGAAAGCCCCGGGCUUAACCUGGGAACUGCGCUUGGGACGGGAUUGCUGGAGACCGGGAGAGGAGAGUGGAAUUCCCAGUGUAGAGGUGAAAUUCGUAGAUAUUGGGAAGAACACCGGUGGCGAAGGCGGCUCACUGGCUCGUUUCUGACGCUCAGGCGCGACAGCGUGGGGAUCAAACAGG